rnacentral:snRNA from 1 species
CUAACCUAGAACCCACAA